GACGAACGCUGGCGGCGUGCCUAAUACAUGCAAGUCGAACGAACCGCGACUAGGUGCUUGCACUUGGUCAAGGUGGGUGGCGAACGGGUGAGUAACACGUGGGUAACCUACCUCAUAGUGGGGGAUAACAGUCGGAAACGACUGCUAAUACCGCAUAGGACAUAGGAUCACAUGAUCCAGUGAGGAAAGGUGGCGCAAGCUAUCGCUAAGAGAUGGACCCGCGGUGCAUUAGCUAGUUGGUAGGGUAAAGGCCUACCAAGGCGAUGAUGCAUAGCCGACCUGAGAGGGUGAUCGGCCACAUUGGGACUGAGACACGGCCCAAACUCCUACGGGAGGCAGCAGUAGGGAAUCUUCCGCAAUGGACGCAAGUCUGACGGAGCAACGCCGCGUGAGUGAAGAAGGUCUUCGGAUCGUAAAGCUCUGUUGUUAGAGAAGAACAGCGCAUAGAGUAACUGUUAUGCGUGUGACGGUAGCUAACCAGAAAGCCACGGCUAACUACGUG
rnacentral:rRNA from 1 species